GCCAGCACUGUGCCUUCCCGACCCAGUGGUGGCUGAGAACAGUGACCAGCACUGCUCCCUCGGCCAUCCCACGAGCAGGAGGCUCUCCUUCCUGAGGUUGCAGCAUUGCU
ensembl:miRNA